UCUUAGACAAUGGGCGCAAGCCUGAUCUAGCAUGCCGCGUGAGCGAUGAAGGCCUUAGGGUUGUAAAGCUCUUUCAGGGGGGAAGAUAAUGACGGUACCCCCAGAAGAAGCCCCGGCUAACUCCGUGCCAGCAGCCGCGGUAAUACGGAGGGGGCUAGCGUUGCUCGGAAUUACUGGGCGUAAAGCGCACGUAGGCGGAUCGGAAAGUCAGGGGUGAAAUCCCGGGGCUCAACCCCGGAACUGCCUUUGAAACUCCCGGUCUUGAGGUCGAGAGAGGUGAGUGGAAUUCCGAGUGUAGAGGUGAAAUUCGUAGAUAUUCGGAGGAACACCAGUGGCGAAGGCGGCUCACGGCUCGACACUGACGCUGAGGUGCGAAA
rnacentral:rRNA from 1 species